rnacentral:snRNA from 1 species
GGAUAUGAGAGUGAUCUGGCUGUGACAUCUGUCAUCCCACUGAUAACCAGGGUUUAUUCAGCUGAUCUCGCUGGCUAGGUGGAUGUCUCCUCACUGCUCCAUGUGUGUCCCUCCCGAAGCUGCAAGUCAGUCAUGGAGGAGGACCCCUCUUUGGUCAAUGGUAUAGUAGUAGCUGUGCUCCCCUGCUAGAACCUCCAAAUAGCCUCUCAAAAUAAUAAUUCCACAUACUUAUCUAUAAUACAGAAAAUAGAUUAAUUAGAGUUCCUCUUACU